AACCUAGCACACCUGCGGUGUGUACCUGCGGAGGGAUCAUUACAAGUGACCCCGGUUUACCACCGGGAUGUUCAUAACCCUUUGUUGUCCGACUCUGUUGCCUCCGGGGCGACCCUGCCUUCGGGCGGGGGCUCCGGGUGGACACUUCAAACUCUUGCGUAACUUUGCAGUCUGAGUAAACUUAAUUAAUAAAUUAAAACUUUUAACAAUGGAUCU
rnacentral:misc_RNA from 1 species